GGCUCAGGACGAACGCUGGCGGCGUGCUUAACACAUGCAAGUCGAGCGGAAAGGCCCCUUCGGGGGUACUCGAGCGGCGAACGGGUGAGUAACACGUGAGCAACCUGCCCCUGACUCUGGGAUAAGCCCGGGAAACUGGGUCUAAUACCGGAUAUGACCACGGGUCGCAUGGCCUUGUGGUGGAAAGUUUUUCGGUUGGGGAUGGGCUCGCGGCCUAUCAGCUUGUUGGUGGGGUGAUGGCCUACCAAGGCGACGACGGGUAACCGGCCUGAGAGGGCGACCGGUCACACUGGGACUGAGACACGGCCCAGACUCCUACGGGAGGCAGCAGUGGGGAAUAUUGCGCAAUGGGCGGAAGCCUGACGCAGCGACGCCGCGUGGGGGAUGACGGCCUUCGGGUUGUAAACCUCUUUCAGCAGGGACGAAGCUAACGUGACGGUACCUGCAGAAGAAGCGCCGGCUAACUACGUGCCAGCAGCCGCGGUAAUACGUAGGGCGCAAGCGUUGUCCGGAAUUAUUGGGCGUAAAGAGCUCGUAGGCGGUUUGUCGCGUCUGUCGUGAAAGCCCACGGCUUAACUGUGGGUCUGCGGUGGAUACGGGCAGACUAGAGGCAGGUAGGGGAGAAUGGAAUUCCCGGUGUAGCGGUGAAAUGCGCAGAUAUCGGGAGGAACACCGGUGGCGAAGGCGGUUCUCUGGGCCUGUACUGACGCUGAGGAGCGAAA
rnacentral:rRNA from 1 species